AACGAACGCUGGCGGCAGGCUUAACACAUGCAAGUCGAACGGGCGUAGCAAUACGUCAGUGGCAGACGGGUGAGUAACACGUGGGAACCUUCCUAGGGGGUACGGAACAACUCAGGGAAACUUGAGCUAAUACCGUAUACGUCCGUGAGGAGAAAGAUUUAUCGCCCUUAGACGGGCCCGCGUCGGAUUAGCUAGUUGGUGGGUAACGGCCUACCAAGGCGACGAUCCGUAGCUGAUCUGAGAGGAUGAUCAGCCACACUGGGACUGAGACGCGGCCCAGACUCCUACGGGAGGCAGCAGUGGGGAAUCUUGGACAAUGGGCGCAAGCCUGAUCCAGCCAUGCCGCGUGAGUGAAGAAGGCCUUCGGGUUGUAAAGCUCUUUGUUCAGGGACGAUAAUGACGGUACCUGAAGAAUAAGCCCGGCUAACUCGUGCCAGCAGCCGCGGUAAU
rnacentral:rRNA from 1 species